UGGGGAUUAUUGGACAAUGGGCGAAAGCCUGAUCCAGCCAUGCCGCGUGUGUGAAGAAGGUCCUCGGAUUGUAAAGCACUUUAAGUUGGGAGGAAGGGCAGUAAGCGAAUACCUUGCUGUUUUGACGUUACCGACAGAAUAAGCACCGGCUAACUCUGUGCCAGCAGCCGCGGUAAUACAGAGGGUGCAAGCGUUAAUCGGAAUUACUGGGCGUAAAGCGCGCGUAGGUGGUUCGUUAAGUUGAAUGUGAAAGCCCCGGGCUCAACCUGGGAACUGCAUCCAAAACUGGCGAGCUAGAGUAGGGCAGAGGGUGGUGGAAUUUCCUGUGUAGCGGUGAAAUGCGUAGAUAUAGGAAGGAACACCAGUGGCGAAGGCGACCACCUGGGCUCAUACUGACACUGGGGUGCGAAAGCGUGGGGAGCAAACAGG
rnacentral:rRNA from 1 species